rnacentral:rRNA from 1 species
AUGGAGCUUGGCGAUGGACAGACGGCAUUGUUCUGGGAUGACCGAUGGCUCAACGGCCAGUCCGUGCGAGAGCUCGCGCCGGCACUCUACCAAUGCAUUCCCAAACGGCGACGCAAGUCGACAACGGUGGCCGCAGGCCUAGCGGGCAAUGCUUGGGCUCGUGACAUUCAAGGAGUGAUAGGGAUUCACGAGAUUGGCCAAUAUCUCAGACUGUGGCAGGCCGUGCAGCACAUCAGCCUAUCAAACCGGCCCGACCGAAUGCUCUGGAGAUGGACGGCUAGCGGCAACUACACGGCACGGUCAUGCUACGCCGCAACCUUCCAUGGAUCCAUGAAAUGCCCCUCCUGGAAGCUUACCUGGAAGAGCUGGACACCGCGUCGUGUUCAUUUCUUCACUGGUUGGCUAGCCAGGACCGGUGUUGGACGGCGGAGAGACUAG